rnacentral:rRNA from 1 species
UACGUAGGGUGCGAGCGUUAAUCGGAAUUACUGGGCGUAAAGCGUGCGCAGGCGGUUCGUUGUGUCGGCGGUGAAAGCCCCGGGCUUAACCUGGGAAUGGCAGUGGAUACUGGCAAGCUAGAGUGCGGUAGAGGGGUGUGGAAUUCCCGGUGUAGCGGUGAAAUGCGUAGAGAUCGGGAGGAACACCAGUGGCGAAGGCGGCACCCUGGACCAGCACUGACACUGAGGCACGAAAGCGUGGGGAGCAAACAGG